AUGACCUUCCGUGCCUUCGUAUAGCUCAAAACUUAGCCAAAUCUAAGUUGAGUUAAUUGCCACAGAUGCGUGUGCCAUAUUUAUGGGAUGUACUGCUACCAGAGGUUCGGUAGUGCUUCAGAUGCGCCUCCAAGAUGCAAGAGAAUGGUACACCUACCGUCAUCCAUGCACUGUUAUUCUGAUUAAAUCUCUUAACAUGUGAAUGAACCUGAAUAAACCUUUCACAUAACCA